CCUACGGGAGGCUGCAGUGGGGAAUAUUGGACAAUGGGGGGAACCCUGAUCCAGCCAUGCCGCGUGUGUGAAGAAGGCCCUCGGGUUGUAAAGCACUUUCAGUGAGGAAGAACGCCUGGUGGUUAAUACCCAUCAGGAAAGACAUCACUCCCAGAAGAAGCACUGGCUAACUCCGUGCCAGCAGCCGCGGUAAUACGGAGGGUGCGAGCGUUAAUCGGAAUUACUGGGCGUAAAGCGCGCGUAGGUGGCUUGAUAAGCCGGUUGUGAAAGCCCCGGGCUCAACCUGGGAACGGCAUCCGGAACUGUCAAGCUAGAGUGCAGGAGAGGAAGGUAGAAUUCCCGGUGUAGCGGUGAAAUGCGUAGAGAUCGGGAGGAAUACCAGUGGCGAAGGCGGCCUUCUGGACUGACACUGACACUGAGGUGCGAAAGCGUGGGUAGCAAACAGGAUUAGAUACCCUAGUAGUC
rnacentral:rRNA from 1 species